ensembl:lncRNA
GAAAUUUGCAAGUUUUACCUACCUCGUUAUCAGUAGAUAGAACUGAUCGGUUUCUCUGCUAAGCUAACCUGCAGAUCACGAGGCUAUUACAAAUCAGUACCGGUGCUGGUGAAGGAACUGUGAAUUUGGGGCAGAAGGUCCCAGAGGGCUGAUCACACAGGUCCAUUUCCACAGUUAGCACACCAAACUGAAACGCAUAGGCUCUCAGUUACGGGCACGGCACAGCGAUUUGCCAGUAUGUCUGCUGAGCAGCUGGAGCUGGCAUCAGCUGCCAAGGGCCUUGGUGGAGUUUGUUUUCAUGUGGGAGAACUGUGAGCUUCCUGGUGAGCAGGAGCAGGCAGAAGUGAAGGAAGAGGAGAAGAUGAAAAUAUGCCAAAGAAAGAAGUGUCUUAACAUGUUCCCCCCAAAGAACAGUGUAAGUAUUUUCUUCACCAGAACACUCACUACCUCAGUCAGCUGUCUACUGAUGGGCAUACCUUCCUGUGUGCUAAAGAGAAAGGGAGAGG